GUGAAUCAUCGAAUCUUUGAACGCACCUUGCGCUCCUUGGUAUUCCUUGGAGCAUGCCUGUUUGAGUAUCAUGAAAUUCUCAAAGCGAAUCUUUCGUUAACUCGAUGGACUUUGCUUUGGACUUGGAGGUCUGCGGAUUCACAGUCCGCUCCUCUCAAAUGCAUUAGCUGGAUCUCAGUGAGCUUGGUUCCACUCGGCGUGAUAAGUAUCACUCGCUGAGGACGCCCGUAAAAAAGGUGGCCAGGGUCGCAGGUGAACCGCUUCUAAUGGUCUAUUGAUUUAGACAAUAAAUCUUUAUUUAAUGAUCUGAUCUCAAAUCAGGUAGGACUACCCGCUGAACUUAAGCAUAUCAAUAAGCGGAGGAAAAGA
rnacentral:rRNA from 1 species